AUACGUAGGGGGCGAGCGUUGUCCGGAAUGAUUGGGCGUAAAGGGCGCGUAGGCGGCCCGGUAAGUCUGGAGUGAAAGUCCUGCUUUUAAGGUGGGAAUUGCUUUGGAUACUGUCGGGCUUGAGUGCAGGAGAGGUAAGUGGAAUUCCCAGUGUAGCGGUGAAAUGCGUAGAGAUUGGGAGGAACACCAGUGGCGAAGGCGGCUUUCUGGACUGUAACUGACACUGAGGCAUGAAAGCGUGGGUAGCAAACAGGAUUAGAUACCCUGGUGGUCCACGCCGUAAACGAUGGGUACUAGGUGUAGGAGGUAUCGACCCCUUCUGUGCCGUCGUUAACACAAUAAGUACCCCGCCUGGGGAGUACGGUCGCAAGACUAAAACUCAAAGGAAUUGACGGGG
rnacentral:rRNA from 1 species